AGUACUUUAGUACUGUGAAUCCUGCGAAGUUAGCUGUUAUACCUCUCAAGCUUUAUGGUCUUGCUUGUGUCUGGUGGAGAAGCCAUUGCUAAAAACUAUAAAAACAAUGGUCUUGGGAAGCUUUAUUGUGCUAAUUUGAUAAAGAAAGAAAAGGGCUCAAAUGUCUUGGAAGAAAGAAAAGGCAGGUGAGAGCUUGUAGGUUGAGGUUGAGCCCUGAAAUUGUAGUAUAGAUGUAACAUUAUAAAAGAAAAAGAAAGGGGAGAGAGAGAGAGAGAGAGAG
rnacentral:misc_RNA from 1 species